rfam:Myotis lucifugus cont2.66641, whole genome shotgun sequence.
GGUGGUUCUUGGGUGACACACCCCGGAAUCAGGCUCCCUCCUUUCUGGUUCUGGGUGUGUUACCUGAGAACCCA